rnacentral:lncRNA from 1 species
UGACUGCUUGCCCCUAUGUUCUCCUACGAAGUGGGUUCCCAGGCUUUUUAUUUUUUUAGUCCUCUCGUCUGCUAGCAAUUUAGGCCUUGUUUAGAUACACCCAAAAACUCAAAACUUUACAAGAUUUCCCAUCACAUCGAAUCUUACGGCACAUGCAUGGAGCAUUAAAUAUAGAUAAAAAAUAAAAACUAAUUACACAGUUUGUCUGUAAAUCGCG